rnacentral:rRNA from 1 species
AACGAACGCUGGCGGCAGGCCUAAUACAUGCAAGUCGAACGCCCCGCAAGGGGAGUGGCAGACGGGUGCGUAACACGUGGGAAUCUCCCCAAAAGUAAGGAACAACAGUUGGAAACGACUGCUAAUACCUUAUGUGCUCUUCGGAGGAAAGAUUUAUCGCUUUUGGAUGAGCCCGCGUCUGAUUAGCUAGUUGGUGGGGUAAUGGCCUACCAAGGCAACGAUCAGUAGCUGGUCUUAGAGGACGAUCAGCCACACUGGGACUGAGACACGGCCCAGACUCCUACGGGAGGCAGCAGUAGGGAAUAUUGGACAAUGGAGGAAACUCUGAUCCAGCCAUGCCGCGUGAGUGAUGAAGGCCUUCGGGUUGUAAAGCUCUUUGAUUGGAGACAAUAAUGAUGGUAUCCAAAGAACAAGCCCCGGCUAACUCUGUGCCAGCCGCCGCAGUAA